GCUCGUGCAGGAGGAGGAAAAAAGCAGCAAUGAUGACAUGACAGGAAGGAUGAGGAGAAGGAACAGGAGGAAAAAUACAGCGGCAAAAAGGAAAUGACAAGGAUGUAGAGGGAAAAAUCAGGAUCCAGGAAACGAGGCCGAGGAGGCGAUGGAGGAGGAGGAGGAGGAGGAGGAGGAGGAGCAGAAGGAUAAAAGUAGCAACUACAAAAUGUGGUCGAGGAGGAAAAAGGCAGCAUAAUGGAACUAUGGUGGACAAUAUGGAGGUGGUGGAGGUGGUGGUGGUAGUGGUGGAGGAGGAGGAGGAUAAAAGCAGCAACCACAAAAUAAGGUUGAGGAGGAAAAAAGAAGCAUCUUUGAAAUGUGGAGGAGGCGGAGGAGGAGCAGGAGUAGGAGGAGAAGGAGGAAAACUCAGCGACCAAAAAUUAGGAGCAAGAGGAAAAAGCCAACGUCUUCAAAAUAUGGUGGAGGUGGAGGUGGAUGUGGUGGAAGAGGAGGAGGAGGAGGAUAAAUGUAGCAAAUACAAAAUGAGGUCGAUGAGGAAAAAGGCAGCAUCUUGGAAUUAUGGUGGAGGAGGUGGAGGUGGAGGUGGUGGUGGAGGAUAAAAGCUACGACAGGAAACUGAGGUGGAGAAGGAACAAAAGGGGGAGGACAAGGAGCAGGUAAGAAGCAGCGGAAACAAGACAAGGAGGGUAAGGUGCAGGUGGAGCUCGUGGAGGAGGAGGAAAAAAGCAGCAAUGAUGACAUGACAGGAAGGAUGAGGAGAAGGAACAGGAGGAAAAAUACAGCGGCAAAAAGGAAAUGACAAGGAUGUAGAGGGAAAAAUCAGGAUCCAGGAAAUGAGGCGGA